rnacentral:rRNA from 1 species
ACGAUGAUUGGUGACGGAGCGGCGGACGGGUGAGUAACGCGUGGCUAACCUACCCUCUUGACGGGGACAACCACUCGAAAGGGUGGCUAAUACCCGAUAUUGUCUGGAACCGAUGGGUUCCUUUCCAAAGGCGGUCUUGCCGCCGCAAGGGGAUGGGGCUGCGUCCUAUUAGCUAGUUGGUGAGGUAACGGCUCACCAAGGCUUCGAUGGGUAGCUGGUCUGAGAGGACAGCCAGCCACAUUGCACUGAGAUACGGCCCAGACUCCUACGGGAGGCAGCAGUGGGGAAUCUUGGCCAAUGGACGAAAGUCUGAGCCAGCGACACCGCGUGGGGGAUGACGGCCUUCGGGUUGUAAACCUCUUUUCUGGGGAAAGAAUAAGGACGGGAGGAAAUGCCCGCUCGAUGACGGUACUCCAGGAAUAAGCAUCGGCUAACUCUGUGCCAGCAGCCGCGGUAAGACAGAGGAUGCGAGCGUUAUCCGGAAUUACUGGGCGUAAAGGGCGUCUAGGCGGUUCGGUAAGUCGUUCGUGAAAUCCCUCGGCUCAACCGAGGAGGGUCUUGCGAUACUGCCGAGCUUGGGUGCAGGAGAGGAGGGUGGAACUCACAGAGUAGCGGUGGAGUGCGUAGAUACUGUGAGGUACCCCGAUGGCGAAGGCAACCCUCUGGCCUGCUACCGACGCUGAAGCGCGAAAGCGUGGGGAGCAAAGGGGAUUAGAUACCCCCGUAGUCCACGCCCUAAACAAUGUUCACUUGGUGUCGGCCGCUCAUACUGGUCGGUGCCGAAGCUAACGCGUUAAGUGAACCGCCUGAGGAGUACGGCCGCAAGGCUAAAACUCAAGAGAAUUGACGGGUCCCUGCACAAGCGGUGGAGCACGUGGUUUAAUUCGACGAUAAACGAAGAACCUCACCCAGGCUUGACAUACUAGUGGUAGGAACCUGAAAGGGAGACGACCCUGCCUUCGGGUAGGGAGCUAGUACAGGUGAUGCAUGGCUGUCGUCAGCUCGUGUCGUGGGAUGUUGGGUUCAGUCCCGAAACGAGCGCAACCCUUGUCGUUAGUUGCCAGCGGGUAAUGCCGGGGACUCUAACGAGACUGCUGGUGAAUAGCCGGAGGAAGGCGGGGAUGACGUCAAGUCAUCAUGUCCCUUACGCCUGGGGCGACACACAUGCUACAAUGGGGGGUACAGAGGGUCGCAAUCCCGUAAGGGGGAGCCAAUCCAUAAAAGCCCCUCUCAGUUCGGAUUGAGGUCUGCAACUCGACCUCAUGAAGCCGGAAUCGCUAGUAAUCGCGGGUCAGCCAUACCGCGGUGAAUAUGUACUCAGGGAUUGUACACACCGCCCGUCACACCAACCGAGUGGGGGGUACCUGAAGUCGCUCUUCUGAGGGCGCCUAAGGUAACUUCCGCAUAGGGGUGAAGUCGUAACAAGGUA